rnacentral:rRNA from 1 species
UACGGGGGGAGCAAGCGUUGUUCGGAUUUACUGGGCGUAAAGGGCGCGUAGGCGGCCAGCACAAGUCGGUUGUGAAAUCUCCGGGCUUAACUCGAAAACUGCAUUGCGAACUGGUCUGGCUAGAGUGUGUGAGAGGGUAGUGGAAUUCCCGGUGUAGCGGUGAAAUGCGCAGAUAUCAGGAGGAACACCAAUUGCGAAGGCAGCUCGCUGGGACGUUACUGACGCUGAGACGCGAAAGCGUGGGGAGCAAACAGG